ACUGGCUGAGCAGACCCAUUUCAUUUUGUGAGAUCUUUUUUGCUAGCCUGCAGCGGCACAGUGUGAAAUGACAGCAGCCACUGAAUCAAGGAGAUUACUCCGGGAUCCGUAACACCGCUCGGCACCCCGCAGGGCAGCACCACCCGUAACACCGCUCCCGCAGCGCAGCGCGUCCCGCUCUCCUCUCCCCGCCGCACACUUACGUGGUCCCCACGGCGCGGCGGCAGGCAGCCUGUGCAGGUGGAUCUCAUCCUUAUCCAUCGCCCGUCGAUCCCCGCAGCCCGGCUGAGGUACCAAACUCAACUUGCCAGGGUUCCUCCUACCUCCUUUUUUUUUUUUUUUUUUUUUUUUUUUUUUUCUUCCCGUCCCUUU